GUAUGAGCCGGGGAAGACGGCGGUGGGGAUCAAGAAUGUGACGAUUAAUGAUAAUUUCUUUCCCGGGCAUUUUCCGGAGCGGCCGAUUAUGCCGGGUGUGCUCAUGAUUGAGGCCAUGGCUCAGGUUGGAGGCCUAGUGAUGCUGCAACCGGAGGUUGGGGGCUCACGCGAGAACUUCUUCUUUGCUGGGAUUGACAAAGUGCGGUUCAGGAAGCCU
rnacentral:misc_RNA from 1 species